rnacentral:rRNA from 1 species
CCUACGGGUGGCAGCAGUGAGGAAUAUUGGUCAAUGGACGAGAGUCUGAACCAGCCAAGUAGCGUGAAGGAUGACUACCCUAUGGGUUGUAAACUUCUUUUAUAUGGGAAUAAAAUGUUCCACGUGUGGGAUUUUGUAUGUACCCUAUGAAUAAGGAUCGGCUAACUCCGUGCCAGCAGCCGCGGUAAUACGGAGGAUCCGAGCGUUAUCCGGGUUUAUUGGGGUGAAAGGGAGCGUAGGUGGUUUGUUAAGUCAGUUGUGAAAGUUGGCGGCUCAACCGUAAAAUUGCAGUUGAAACUGGCAGUCUUGAGUACAGUAGAGGUGGGCGGAAUUCGUGGUGUAGCGGUGAAAUGCUUAGAUAUCACGAAGAACUCCGAUUGCGAAGGCAGUUCACUGGACUGCAACUGACACUGAGGCUCGAAAGUGUGGGUAUCAAACAGGAUUAGAUACCCUUGUAGUC